AGGGUGACUAGCACAGUAACCCUGUCCCAAUGCAUCCUGUGUUCUUGUUGAACAGAUAUCUUCAAGGGUAAUCUGUGCUGUCAAGGUACUCUACUGACAGGUUCUACAAAGAAGAAGAGACACUGAUUCACAAGUAUUUAUAAGGACCCUGUAUAAACAUAGCCACCAUGAGUGGUGUGUGUUCCAGCAACAGAGAAAAUGGAAGUAACAUGGAAAGUGUAUGUCACAGUGAGAUGGUUUUUAAAAAAUCCUAGCAUUUAAAAGGAGCACAUUCUUGUGGCUGGGAAAUGCUGUAAGAGCUUACCUACUGAUGGUC